rnacentral:rRNA from 1 species
CGUGUAGGCGGUCCGGUAAGUCAGAUGUGAAAGCCCUGGGCUCAACCCAGGAAGUGCAUUUGAAACUACCGGACUUGAGUACGGGAGAGGAGGGGGGAAUUCCCGGCGUAGAGGUGAAAUUCGUAGAUAUCGGGAGGAAUACCAGUGGCGAAGGCGCCCCUCUGGACCGAUACUGACGCUGAGACGCGAAAGCGUGGGGAGCAAACA